AUGUGAAAAAAAGAAGGAAGAGGAAGAGACAGUGGGGGAGAUGCAGCCUCGGGGGCAGUGGAGUGGCUGAGGACAGAGAUUCCCUGUGAGCACAUCCCUGGAUGCUGCCCAGAGCCUCGCCAAGGACCCUCUUUGUGCCCUGGGCACCGCUCCGUGCCCAUCCCGGUGGGCAAAAACCCCCGAGGAGCUGCUGGGGCUGCGUGGGGAGGCUCAGGGAGAGGAAAACAACCCUGGGAAGCAGAGGGAUGAAAGGGAGAGGCGGAGGGGCCAGGGCUUCAAAGAGGAGCUGAGCCCGGUGACUCCUGCAAAGGACACGUCCCGGAGCCGCGGGUGCCCGAGAGGGGCUGGCAGGGGCACGACAAGAACGGGGGGUGUCCCCCGGAGCUGGGGACGGUCCCCGCGGGCAGGGCAGCCGCCUGCAGCUGUAUUUACUGUUGCUGUUUGUUGUCGCCCUGGCAGCCCUCGUAAUGUGAAUUUUCUGUGUCACUGGCUGAGAGGAUUCCAGGCAGGUUUUUGAUAAUGCGGGGGUUUUUGUAAACCAGGGAAGGGAGAAAGGGGGGUAGAGGGGAAAGAAGCCACGGGCUGGAAACUGCUGGGCCCUGGAGCUUUUAACUCCUUCGGCACCGAGUGAGUUUGGCUGGAGUUUGUGGCUCUCAGAAUCCAGGGAUUUGGGGCGGGUUGGGAGCUGUAAAUGCGGUGUUUCCACCACGCUUCCCCUCGCGGCAGCCUCAGCCCAUCCUCAAUUCCCAGCAUCGAGAAUUCAACCCCCCCCCAACCCCGUUCAGCAGCUCCCCCCAUCCCUGCCCACUCCCUGCAUCCCCCUCCCGUGCCCCUUCCCCAUCCACUGCUCGGGAUUUGUGUCUCAAAUCCCUCCGUGCCUCAGUUUCCCCUCCUGGAAAAGGGACAGAAAGAAAUCCCCGACAAACAAAAAGCAGUGCCCAGCUCUUGCCAUCGCUGCCGGGGCUGUGCCAGGUUGCCCGGGCAGGUGCCCACCCCUCAGCCCGCGGCUUUUGCCGCUUGAAAGCCACACAAGGAAAUGGCAGCAGUUUUGAUCCCUCCACAAACAAACUGGGAAUCCAAGGGUAAUCUUCUGCUCCUUUGUUUUCGGGCAAACAGAGCAGCAGCGUCUGUCCCCUCCCGGCUCCGCUGCCAGCGCCCUCAGCCCGCGCUCAAAGGCUCCAGAAUCCCUCCUUUCUUCCUUUCUUUUUUAUUUUUUUCUCCCCUUUUUGCGCGGUUGUGCUCGGGGUGAUGGGUGCAGCCCGGAGAGGAGCUGGGCACAGGAAGGAAAAUCUGUUUUUACGUUGGCACAGCAUCCCCAGAGCUGGCUCUGCCUCCCAGGUGGCACCUCCGGCUUAACCUCUUCCUUCCUGUGGCACAAAAGGGGAGCUCCGCCAGCCUUUGCCAUCUCCUCCCAAAAGGCUGCCGCGGAUUAACCCUUUGCUCGCUCGUCCAGAGGAGAAUCAGGGGCUUUCCUGCUUGUCUGCUCCCUCAUUUCCACGUGCCUGUUGCCGUGACCCCAGGACCUUGCACGGCACAAGGAAUGAGCCUGGAAUCCCUGGGCUUGGACAAACAUGGCAUUUCCAGGCCUGGAUUUCUGUGUUUUCCACCAGCUCUGCUCCCUCUGCUCACCUCGCUCCCUGUGGGGAAACUGAGGCACCAAAUUCCCUGGGAUCGAGCAGCAGAACCGCGGUCGGGACCAGCCCCAGCCCCGCUUCCCCCGCUCUCCGAGGGGUCUCCCGGCUCCCCCAGCCCCCUCGGGAGCUCGGGUCACCUCCGCUUUCCCACCCCUCGGAUUUCAGCUCCCCUCGCCCGGGCAGGAGCCCCUGACUGACACUUGAUUGACGGAGCCAAUUAGCCAAACGAAGCCAGCUGCAUCCAGCCGGGGGAGGAGGGGGGGACGGAGGGGAAGCCAGAAUCCAAUUCCUCUCCCAUCAGCCGUGAUUGCCGGGUUUGUUUUAUUCUCUCUCAGCCUGGGUUGGUUUUGGUUUUUUGGUUUUUUUUUUUCAGAGCCCCUGCCCCUGGAUGCCAUUCAAAGGGGGCUCGAAGCCUCUCCCCGGGCCGCCGGGGAGCUCGGGGGUGUUGGCAUCACCUGGGCACGCUGGCAUCACCUGGGCACGUUCUCGCAGCUCCGGGAUUUCCCCGGAGCCACCACUGUCCCAGUCCCAGCCACCACCACCACUGGACAGAGGGGCACGUGCACAGCUGGCCUGGCGUGCAGACAGCUUCCUCCUCCUCCUCCUCUUCCUCCUCGAGGGCAGGGAGCUGGCAGGAAUUCCAGCGGGCCGGGCAGCGGGAGCCUCCAGCUGGGAGAGGUGCAUGGAAACACACCCGGAGCUUCCCUGCAGCCCCAGCGCAGCGCACAUGAAAAAGUCAUUCAAGGAGCCACUUGAAAACAGCCCCGCGCUCCCCUGGGCGCACUCGGGGUGUCAAAUGAUUCCCAACCAUCCAAGAAAGUCUGAUCAGCCUUGGAUGGAUGGAAAGAAUCCGGCUGACUUGCCUAUUUUGGGGCAGAGCAGGGGGGCACUUCUCCUCCUCCUCCUCAUCCUCCCUGGGGUUGUCUGGAGCUGUUUGAAGGCAGGAAUGGGGGCUGUGCCAAGGGUUUGCCCCUCUGCCAGCGGCUCUGCCAUGGGCUGUGCCCAGGGGCAGCUCCACCGUGGGGCUGCAGGAAUCAGAAACGCUGAAUUCACCCCACGGCCCGGCCUCUGCCAAGGGGACUGUGCAGAGAAGGAGGAAACUGGCAGCAGUCCUGGAAAUUUAAAGCCCUUCCACUGCCCGGUGCUUUAAAAUAAAAAAAGCAUUUGUGAUAAAUGAAUGAAUUCGUAUCGCUCUGCCCCCCUGAGUCAUCCCGGCCGCUCUCCCUGGCCGGGGAUGGAUCCAUGGAAGGAACCCCGGGGAUGAGCACAGCCCUGGGCCUCGCUGCCCGAGAGCGCGGGGAGUGUA